rnacentral:rRNA from 1 species
UACGUAGGGUGCGAGCGUUGUCCGGAAUGAUUGGGCGUAAAGAGCGUGUAGGCGGCUAUACAGGUCCGUUGUGAAAACUCGAGGCUCAACCUCGAGACGCCGAUGGAAACCGUAUGGCUAGAGUCCGGAAGAGGAGAGCGGAAUUCCUGGUGUAGCGGUGAAAUGCGCAGAUAUCAGGAAGAACACCCGUGGCGAAGGCGGCUCUCUGGGACGGUACUGACGCUGAGACGCGAAAGCGUGGGGAGCGAACAGG